UUGGGCAACAUUUCCACUCCUGGUAGCUACUGUGGCCAGAAGAUGAUACUAAAUUUCUGAGAACUGGAGUCAAGGGUGAUUGUGAGUUACCAUGUGUGUACUGAAAAAGGAACACAAGUCCUUUGGAAGUGCUCCUAACCCAAGCCAUAUCACGAGACAGAGUCACCUUAGCUUUGUUGUUGUUGUUGUUGAUGUUGUUGUUGUUUUUGACACAGAGUCUCUCACAGGGACCUGAGUUUCACAGAUUUGACUGCCUGACCAGGGACCUCCAGGGACAUGGAAGUCUUGACUUUCCAGUGUUUGCUAGGACUGAAGAUGUGUACCACCAUCACCCUACGGUUGUAAGGAAGCAAUACGUGUCUGACUGAAAAACGGAUUACUUAGAUAAGGAUGACCCUUGAAGAACAAUCUUGCUUUGGGUUGAGAUACUUCAGUUAUGAAGACCACUUAGCCAGAGGCAGAACUACAGAAGAAAAAAGCAAGAUCUACCUGAGGACCAAGCUAUGUCACUCUUUGGAAUAUACCCAAA